rnacentral:sRNA from 1 species
GCGCCCGCCCGCCGGGGUCUCGGCGAUCGCUGCUCCUCCUCCUCCUUCUCCUCCUCUUUUUUCUCCUCCGCCUCCUCCCCCCGCCGCCUCGCCACCGCCGCGGCUCGGGCUGGAGGCGCCGCUGUCAUUCCUGCGCCGGAGGAACCGGCGCUGCCGGUGCCUGGGGGUCGGGGCGCGGGCGAGCCGGGCCGCGGGGGACACAACAGGUAGAGCCGGGGGUGCCCGGCCGCGCGCCCCCCGCGCAUCAUGCAGCUCUUUGUCACCUCUCUCGCCCCCAGGCCAAAAUCCUGAGCAUGAUGGAAGACAAUAAGCAGCUCGCGCUCCGCAUCGAUGGGGCGGUCCAGUCGGCCAGCCAGGAGGUGACCAACCUGCGAGCCGAACUCACGGCCACCAACCGGAGACUGGCGGAACUGAGCGGCGGCGGCGGCCCCGGCCCGGGCCCGGGAGCCGCGGCCAGCGCCUCGGCGGCGGGGGACUCGGCGGCGACGAACAUGGAGAACCCCCAGCUCGGAGCGCAAGUGCUCCUGCGGGAAGAAGUGUCGCGGCUCCAGGAGGAAGUUCACCUUCUCCGGCAGAUGAAGGAGAUGUUGGCGAAGGACCUGGAGGAGUCGCAGGGCGGCAAGUCCUCUGAGGUCCUCUCGGCCACCGAGCUCAGGGUCCAGCUGGCCCAGAAGGAGCAGGAGCUAGCCAGAGCCAAAGAAGCCUUGCAGGCCAUGAAAGCUGAUCGGAAGCGCUUAAAGGGCGAGAAGACAGACCUGGUGAGCCAGAUGCAGCAGCUGUAUGCCACACUGGAGAGCCGUGAGGAGCAGCUCCGAGACUUCAUCCGCAACUAUGAGCAGCACCGCAAGGAGAGCGAGGAUGCGGUCAAAGCGCUGGCCAAGGAGAAGGACCUGCUGGAGCGUGAGAAGUGGGAGCUGCGGCGCCAAGCCAAGGAGGCCACAGACCACGCCACGGCACUGCGCUCCCAGCUGGACCUCAAGGACAACCGGAUGAAGGAGCUGGAGGCCGAGCUGGCCAUGGCCAAACAGUCCUUAGCUACGCUGACCAAGGACGUCCCCAAGCGGCAUUCCCUCGCCAUGCCGGGUGAGACGGUGCUCAACGGCAACCAGGAGUGGGUGGUGCAGGCGGACCUCCCGCUGACCGCAGCCAUCCGGCAGAGUCAACAGACUCUCUACCACUCACACCCCCCUCACCCUGCGGACCGGCAAGCGGUCAGGGUGAGCCCCUGCCACUCCCGGCAGCCCUCUGUCAUCUCCGACGCAUCUGCCGCCGAAGGCGACCGGUCGUCCACACCGAGCGACAUCAACUCCCCUCGACACCGGACACACUCCCUCUGCAACGUAAGGCCAGCAGCAGCGGGGCCUGGGCCCCUGGGCCCUGCCCAGAAACUGCAGGGGCGGGGGUGGCGGGGUGAAGCCAUACUCGCUGUUUCCUCUCGUCCACCCAGGGAGCACUCUGGCGAAUGCAUUUCCUGUUCUGUUCUUUCCUUUUGCAAGAAGCGAUGGAUGUGGGGAGAAAAAGGAAUGAGGCCCGUUUGCUCCUUGUGUCCGGGAGGGUGAGGAGAAUCCAGAGGAAGCGGGCCUGGGUCGGCCGCAGGCACAGCCUGGAACUCUGCCCCAGUGGGCCCUGUCUGGGACCGUGGGCUUCUCCUCCCACACAUUACCUUCCAGAGCUCAGGGCCUCCCCAGCACCUCCUCAUUUCCCUUUAGAGCCAGCUCUCUAUCCUGACCCAGGAGUCUUGGCAUGAAUUGCCUCUGGAGAGGCGUGUGAAUAUGGUCUAAGUUUGUUUCCUUUGCUUAUUUCAUCAAACACUUUUUGAUUGCAUACUGGGCACCAGCUCCCAGGAGGCAAAGGCCCUAGCUGCCUAGCUCUUGAUGACUAGUGGGGCAGACAGAUGGGCUCUGCAACAGUGAGGGAGUAAAUUGAAGGUGGGUUGAGCUUCUGAGGACAGUUGGAAGCCAUGUCGAGGCUCUAACAUGAAAUAUUGGGGUCUGGGUGUGGGGACCACCUUGAAUUUUUGUUCUAUCACACAGUUGGUAAUGCAGAGGCUCCCCUCUGCCAUAUCCUGAAGACAGACAUCAUAGGGUUAGAUCCUCAAAUGCACGAGACGGCUUUUUCCAAAACUCAGUUAAUGUCACUUUAUUAACCAGCGAAAUAGAUAAUAAAAAAGAAAUGAGGUGAACACAUUGCACAAAACCAUUACUUGCCAGUGACAUGAUUCUCUACCUGGAGAACUCAAGAGAAUAACUUGAAAAGCUAUUAGAAUGAAUAAUAAGCAUGUACAUAACAGUGUUGCUUGGAAAUCAAUGUGUAAAAAUCAAUCACUUUCCUAUAGAUGAGUCGUAAUUAUGGAACCAUUUUUUUCAAUCCACAAUAAUGAAAAGUGCUUAUAAAAAUAGCUAAGACUGAACUUCAGAGAAGCUGCCUCAGUCUGCUGAGGUGGGCGGCAGAGAUUGCUGGCCCGGGGACUUUAGCUGGCCUCCUCAGAGUAGGAAGGUCAUUUGCAGCCUGAGGCCCUGCUCAGGCCUGGGAUUCUCUUCUUUAUUGUUUUAUUUUAUUUAUUCGUAUGUGUGUGUGAUGGAGUUUCACUCUUGUCACCCAGGCUGGAGUGCAGUGACGCGGUCUCAGCUCACUGCAACCAACACCUUCCAGGCUCAAACAAUUCUCCUGCCUCAGCCUCCCGAGCAGCUGGCAUUACAGAUGCCUGCCACCACACCCGGCUAAUUUUUGUAUUUUUAGUAGAGAUGAGAUUUCACCAUGUUGGCCAGGCUGGUCUUGAACUCCUGACCUCAGGCGACCUGCCCACCUCAGUCUCCCAAAGUGCUGGGAUUAUAGACAUGAGCCAUUGCACCUGGCGGGAUUCUCUGUUUUAUACUGGUGCUUUAAGGCAGCAGUAUGUUCUUCUCUUGUCCCCAGGAGAGAAUCCUAGUGACAAAGGCUAUCUUGACUAACAGAACCAAGGCAAGGAAGGUGGGCCACUGGAGGGGUCUCUGACAUCCAUUCCCUGAUCCUGGAGGACCACUGUGGAGUUAUACCUACAGCCAGCAGUGUCCCUGCACCAUUCUCAUCCCAGUUGAGAAUACCUUCCCCCCACGGCCGUAUUUUGUCUUCUCGUGGUGGGCCCAUGGGGACUCUGGCAGCAGAAAUGCUGCUGGAAAAACCCCAUUCUGCAGAAGGAGUUCUCCAAAGGCCUCUUGAAUUGCAUUUGACCCAGUCCUAGUCUUUUGCCCACCGUAGCCUUGGCACAUUCCUGCUGACAGGAAAUGGGUGCUUUGAUAAGCCAGUUGUCUGCAUACAGGCGUUUCAGUGAGCAGGCCCCAUUCUCUUUACCCAUAGAUUUGGCAAAGAUGUUCCUAUCCAGAGUGGAACUAUCUUAGCUGCCUUCAGAAUGGAUUCUGUUUGCAAACCUUGAGACUAAAGACUAAACUACCAUUCAUUAAUUCCCUCACUUCCUCAACCCUUUUUAUCCCCCCAUCUCAACAGGUGUGCAUGCCGGUAAGCCAGGAAGAGCCCAAAAAUAGCUACAGGUAACCCUUUGCCUUGGGCAUCUGACGUCCACCAGCAAGAAUAGUGCAGCCUGGACUAACGACUGCCUCAUCCUCUCACACUCUGGCCAUUAAUUUAGAGCAGAAGUAGGAACUCAGCAUAGAGAGGUUGGAGAAGGUUGACGGACCUUGGCAUUAUGCUUGCAAUUCCAGAAAUAACCACCAGGAGUCUCCCUAGUAAUGACUGUUUUGAUCCAAAGGAUCUGUGGGCUCCAGACAGGGCAGACCGAUUCUGGGAUGCAGUGAAGGCUUUUGUACACCCGUAGGCUAUUAAGGGUUCCCUCCACACCCACGUAAGGCAGGGCUGGCAACACAAUGGAAAUGUCCUACCUGCCCAUCCUAGGGACCUGUCUGAGGCUCCCUAGGAAAAAGGGAAGGAGUUCAGACCCCUCCUGGGGCAGCCCAAAGCUCAGGACCAAGUGUGCAGUUACUCUGGAGCUCCUGCCUGGAAGGAGCACUGUGCCAGGAGGAAUCUGACAGCCCCCAGUUGGAGCUGUAGCUCUGCAUCCAAUUAGCUCCACGGUAGUGGACUGUCUGCUGCCUCUCUUGAUAUCUGUGAAUAGGGCUAACGAGUCCUGCCUGCCCCUGCGCAAACUAAGAGAUUCAUUGUGUCGGUUGUGGGGGAAGCUAGAGGCUACGUGGUCUCCCAAGUUUGUUUCUGUCCCAAAAUUCUCUAUUUUGUGCUUUUUCUAUAAAAGUACAUUUCUUUAUGAAAAGCACCAAGUCUAACCAAGCUCUAGCUCUAACUCAGAGGACAGACUGGGACAGGAACUUAGACGCCCUGGAGUGGCUAAUUUGUUGGUCAGAAGAUGUUGGGGGUUGAGAGGCCAGACUGGGCAGGAGAGGACCCCAGGGCCUCUAGGGAAACUCCAGGCCCCAUCAAUAAGCCAUCUGGGGGUAUCUGCUUCAGGAGAUGCGGGGUGGGCUCCCCACUGCAGAGGCAGGGUGGCCCCUGAGAGAUGGCAUCCUUCCACGGAAGGCCCCACACCGCACGGGCCGCCUCUGCUCUCCUGUGUCACCUGUCUCUGCUGUUUCAUCUUCCUCUUCUCCUCUGGCUACAGGGCGACAGUCCCGGCCCAGUUCAGAAGAACCUGCACAACCCUAUUGUACAGUCACUAGAGGAUCUUGAAGACCAAAAACGGAAAAAGAAGAAAGAGAAGAUGGGAUUCGGCUCCAUCUCCCGCGUCUUCGCCAGAGGGAAGCAGCGGAAGUCCCUCGACCCCGGCCUCUUUGAUGGUACCGCCCCUGAUUAUUACAUAGAGGAGGACGCGGACUGGUGAUACGCGCUCCCCUGCGCCUGCUGCCCGCAGGCGUGUCUGUGCGUGUGGGCGUGUGUGCAAGCGAGCGUGGGUGCGCGUGUGGCCGUGCGUGGGGUGCGUGUGCACGUGUGCGCUGGCACACAUGGGUGCUGGGUGUGGCCGAGCGCCUCUAACAAGCGAAAACACGAGUGUGAACCUCUCUCCCCUGCGUCGCCACCUCUGUAAUUGAUGUACAUACCGCAAACCGUGUGUGAACCUGUCAACUCUCUGUCGUCUUUGGAGCGAUACAGUUGUGUUGUUAAUCUGGUUUAUUAUUUUUCUUCAGUGUUUGGUUUUUCUUUUUUUUUCUUUUUGUUUGGUUCGUCGGUUUGUUUUUGUUUUUGUUUUUUUCCCCCUUUCUCCUCCCCUCCUCCUUUUUAUGAAACUUGAAAACUUGAAGGACUGCUGUGUAUUUGUAAAUAACAAAACUAUUGUGCACUCUGUGCUUGUAAAUGUCCCUCGUCCAAACCGCUACUCCUGGAGCCCGUCUGGCAGAGGGUGUGGUCUGUUUUUGAUGUCCCCCCUCCCGCCCCCCUGGUGUGAACGUGUGGGACCAGACCCUGUCCUGGGGGGUGCGCCCAAGUCACUUUAACCACAAAACGCCAUCGUCGUCAGGGUAAGCUCUGCUCUCUACAAAGACUCGCGAGCCCGGCCAAGGGGCCUUGUCUUGGCUGGGUUUGUCAGAGGUCAAACGGGCUCUUUUAAACGGCCUACCUGUUUUUAAAUUGCAUUGCCGUUUCUUUCUUUAUG